rnacentral:lncRNA from 1 species
GGAGUUCUAUACAAAAUAAAUAAUUACAUUAUAAGGAGACAACGGUCCAGCAACCCAAAGUUGACUGGGAGACGACGACCUAGACCUCUCGCGAACUCGUCAUAGCAUUCCUCCAAGCGCCUCAUCCUGUGGUACCUGUUCUUUAACCUGUGGGGUAUGUGAGACAGCAAGAGUGAGCUCACAUACGUUCAUCGCUCAACAAGUUGUGGGGAAUAAUGUGCAUGAACUCGCCAAAGGUGGGAGCUCACGUGAAGUGUAAGGCUUACCAAAGAAGAUGGUUAGAGCUGAGCAUUGCUUUUAAAGUUGGUCAAAAUUUUAUUAGCAGUUACUAAGUAUAAGUAAAUACCAACCCAAUUAAAUAGUAGAACAGAAGUAACAACAUCACCUGCAAUGCAAUGCAUAUGACAAAUUGAAUUUAGUUCCAUAAUUUAAUCAUGUGAGUGUCCGAGCUGCUCUUGACCGUGAGCACGGCUAGUAUACCAGUUUUACACUCUGCAAAGGUUGCGCAUCUUUACCCACAAGUCAUGUUACCCAUCUGCCAAGAGACGGCCAAUCCCAUACACCUCUACCGAGGAGGCGAGGCAGGGUAACACUACGAGGCCUUUACAAAGUUCCACUAGCUUCAGAAAACCCGCUACAGUUUAUAGGAAGUUCCAAUGCAGGAAUCCCUUGCAGGACCGCCAUCGCAGCAAAAUCCUCCCGAGGGCCUCUCUACACUGGCCACUCCCCUACUGCCCUUGCCCCUUUCGGGUAAGGUAGUCUUCCACUAGCUUUCCUAAUUAAUCGGCCAAGGGCGUCCCAUUAAACCCUUGUGGUAGCACUGUUUUCCCGGGUGGUUCUCCAUGUUCCAAUUAACAUAAUGAUCUUAACAUGAACAGUAAUAAUAAACAGAUAAUAAAAGUGUGAUCAUGAAUAAUGUAUCUUCAUACCCAAAACCACAUAAAGCACUAGCAAGUACUACCCAACAAGGUUCAGUGGUAAACAAGGUAUAAAGAUAAUCAAACUAGGGUAACCUAUUGGGUCCCAUCAAAAUUAACCUAUGCAGAUCAUUAUGAUUAAUUAGAACAUGAGUGGGUAAAAAGAAGUGAUCAAGGGCACAACUUGCCUAGGCCUUGAGAUUCCAGAUACCAGGAUGAUCUUCAGAGGACUCGUGACCUCACUGCUAGUCGUAGCAAUUCAAACAAACAUGGUAUAGGCAAAAUUAACAUUACACCAAACAUAAGAACAAAAUACACAUUAUUAAUUUAAAAUAAGAUCAUAGGAACAGGAAUCAUUAAUUUUGGAGUUAUAGAUUUUAAGUUAUGAAUUUUCAAAGGUUUUAUGUGUUUAAAAUGGAUUAAGUGAGAGAUUAAAUUUCUAAUUGUUUUCAUGACAAAACAGAGGCACUAAAUAAUGAAGAAUAUUAUUACAAAAUUUUAGAAACUGGAAUGGUUCAAUUUGGAGCUAAAAUGAAUUUUCUAUGAAUUUAUAAAGUUUUAGUAAUUAUUUUCAUAUUAAAAAUCCAUUUAUAAAUUAUUUUCUCUGGUUUUACACUGCUCUGGACUGGGCCUCAAUUAAUGGGAAACGCAGGGGGCUCGGUGUAAGUCGUCCCAGACACAGAGAACAGUCGCCUAAGGACCGCGGGUUGAUUCCACUAAAGUUCGAGGGCUCUUUAAGAAAACUGACCCGCGAAAGGGUAUCUGUUGAUCUCAGCCGCACGAUCAAACUUGGACGCACCCGAUUAAACCAGUGACCCCGCGAAACGGUACGUGAUCACGACCACAAAUCUACAGAUCGACGGCCGCGAUCAACAGCAUCCUAAAUCUAACCCGAUCCCCACGAUCCCGAACCUACGGCUCAGAUCGAACGUGUCCGAAUCGGUAUCCCCAGGUCUAAUCCCGAUCGCUCGUGCGCGAUCCAACGGCGCCCGGACACUCACCUCUCCUCCUAUCUCGCGACGGCGGCGUAUACCUCCCACACGGCGGCGCCCUCACCGGCGAUCGCGCAAUCCGGCCCAAACGGACACCAUAACCCGAUUCACACGACCUACGCGUAAUUGGCAACUCUCCGAACCCACUGCUACCACUAAUUUCGGCCGACGUCGAAUGUGGAGCCCGGCCUACGGUGCACGGCGGAAACCCGUGCCCGACGACCAAUUCCGGGCACGACUUUGGGCAACCAUGCAUUCGGCUUGACGGAACAUGUUUAAUGGAGGGGGAAUGGAAUGGAGAACGUGAAUCUCACCGGCAGGGGCGACGAAUCGAGGAUAGUCCACGGCGCGACGCGGAAAUACACCCGCCGUUGACGCGGCGGCGAGCAAUUCACGCCCCACACCGACCCGCGACACUGAUUGCAGGCGCGGACGGAUCCCCAGGACGAUUACGACCCCACACGGCCACUCGUCGAGGCAAGACCACCUGCACCGAAGGAGUUCACCGGCGGCGGCAAUUUCUUCCUUCAACUCGCUCCCGUUCGAAUUUGGCACGCGGCUCCGGCUUGGUCUGGCGAAGUAGGAGGGCAGGAGGGUUGCGGGCGGCGACUAUAUACGAGCUGGUAGCCCAAUUUUGUAGGAACGGUCCCCCCCGGCGAGCUCGCGAAGUCAGUUGAGCCGCGGCGAUUCUGUUGGGAGGGGAUCGCCAACAGGCGGGACCCACACCGCAGUGACACAGAGCGUGAGCAACGCAGUGGACGAGCGUGCGGAUCGUUCGCGCGAGAGCGCCCUGACGAAGCUGGCCCACCCGGUCAGUGACAGGGUAAAGAAGAUGGCGCGAGCGCGAGGCUGGCUGGUCAGUGGGCCCGGGUUGGCAGCGACCACGGACGCGCGAAGGGAGGCUGCCCAGCGGGACCCAGUUGUCAGCGCGCAGGCGGGGGUGGAGUUGGGCCGCGCGGCGAGAAAGAGUUAGUGGGCCAGAAAUGAGGUGAGCGGCCCAUGUAGGAUUUUAAUUCUUUUCUUUUUCAUUUUUCUUUCUAUUUUCUUUAUUUUCAAACCUAAUUUGAAUUAAUUCAAACUUUUGUGGAUCUUCAUUUAUAAACUCUAUUUUUGAAAUUAAAAAUGCUAAGCCUGAAGAUAUUUAGUUAUACAUUUUAUGUAUAUUUUCAUAUCUCUUCUCUUUUCUUCCCUUCCCAUUUAUUUUCUAUUUUCUAUUCCAAAUUCAAAUUUAUACUUCUAUUUUUGUUUUUCAGAUUUUUCAAAUGUAUUAAUUGAAACCCAAAGGUGAAUAUAAACCAUACUAUUUUAAUAUUACUAAUUUAAGUUUUAUUCUCCUUGUUAUUUAUUUCAUGGGAUGUAUAAAUGGUUUCCUUUAAAAGAAAAAUCCUUUUCUCAUCAUUUUCUUAUUUCCUAGUUUCCAAAGCAUUAUGAUACUUUGUUUAUAUAUUUUUUUUCUUCCUACUAAUUUUGGGCCUUACAAAUCCUACCCCCCUUAAAAAUAAUCUCGUCCUCGAGAUUUGUAAGAAAAGGAUGUAUAAUUAUAUUGUUCUCGGAACAUAUGCACAAACAAAAGAAAUCUCAGCAUGAGAUAUAAUUCUUUAACAAAACAUAGGGUCAAUAGACCUUAUUGUUCCUUCUAAAAUAAUAUCAUAUCAUCUACUAACUAAAGUAACAUCUAGAUCUUACAAAUCAUCAUAAUUUAUAUCUAUGUAGCUUGGUGAAGCUGGUGGUGGUGGUGGAGGUUGUUGUUGUUGUUGUCUCUCCAACCGUGCUUGCCUUAUUUCUUGGCGGGCCUGACGUAUUUCCUCGCGUUGUUGUCUUAUCUGAUUCUGCAUCUCGGUCACCAGGUCUGUUAACUGUUGUAUUACCAGUCUUUGGGUAGCAACCACUUGAUCGAUUUCAACAGGUGGAGGAUUUGGAGGAUUCAUUUUCUGUUUGUUGUUACGUGAUAAUCUUUCCUUUCCUGGUAUUGACCAUGAAAGUUAGAAGCAUAUGGUAAUAGUUUUGCAAAGGAAAUUAUUCAAUAAGCGGAAUGAAUAAGCUAGUAGCUGGUUAUACUCUAAAGAUUCUUUGGUAGGGCUUAAUCUUUGUUUUAUGUCCAGCUUGGGGUAACCAAUCGUAUAAGGUGAAUAUCCAAGGGUAAGAUAGAAUCUGUCAAGAUGAGAGAUAUAUAUGGGUGAGAUAGAUUACAAGAUGUAGGUUACAAGUUUGUUUUAGGUGGGGGUUGAUAGACUAUGCAAUCCAUCAUUACUCUAUUGGUUGGGUUGUUAUGCAACUUGUUAUAUAGGUCAAGUUGUUGGAUAUGGCCGAGUUGAUCUAGGUCACCAAUUUAGGUUUAAGUGAAUUUUGGAGUAUAGCCUUAUCCUUUGUAUCAGCAUUAAGUAUCUCAAUCUAGCUUAGAUCAUACUGGAUUAGAUAGAAUCCAGAUUAGGUUGGUAUGACUAGAUUAAACUAGUUAAGAUUAGCUAGAUCUACCAGGGUAGGAUAAAUAUUAUUGGGAUAUGUUAGAAUCUUUUAAGAUAGGAUGGAUUAUAUGAUAUAGGUAGGCCAUUGUUCAAGGAUGAGUUGGUAUAAGACAUUAAUUUAGGUUAAGAUAUAUUUGUAGAGACAAUGUCUAACCUAUAUCACCAACUUAACUAACUUGUUAAUAACUCACUUUAGAUUGGGUCAUAUUUAGAUUAGAUCAGAUCUAGGUUAGAUUGGUGUGACUAGUUUGACUAGGUAAGAUCUAAUUAAUUUGCAUUAGAUCAUGGUUGUUAAACUAGGGUGGAUAAGUAUUCUUAUUAGGAUAAGAUGGAUCCAUAAAGAUAAGAUAAAAUCUUUUGAGGUCAGUUAGAUCUAUUAAGAUGAGAUAAAAUCUUUUCAAGAUAAGAUGAGUAUCAUUUAAGAUGAGAUGGAUCUAUUAAGAUAAGGGGGAAUCUUUUAAGAUAAGAUGGAUUGAUUAGAAUGAGAUCUUUUAGGAUAAGAUAAAUCUCUUAAGCUAGAUAUGUUCCAAUGGGAAUAUUCUAGGUUGUCUAGUUAUUUUAUAAAUAUAUUUUUAUACCUAUGUGUAUAUGCAAAUGCAAUUGUGGACAUUACUCCACAACCCAUCACAUUCAAUCAAAGAUCCAAAUCAGACAGAUAUCAUAAGAACAAACAUUCAAGCAUAUAAAAAUAAUAGUUUUGUUUUUGUCCCUAAGAGUAGGUCUCUUAUUCCUAAAAUCAAUUUAGGCAACAGGAUUUCAAAGUGUGAAAUCCACAUUUGUCUUUUAGAAAGAAAAGGUAAGAAUAAUCAGAGUAAAGCGGAAAUAGAUGAGAAUAGAUUAAGAGAAGUUUAGAAAGGAAUCAGAGUAGCAAAGGUAAGUAGACAAUGGUUGUCCAGUUCUAUCUAGGUUUCGUCCUACAGUCAACAUUCCUCUGAUACCACUUCUGUAACACCCGGAUUUUAGGGGUCAAAAACUCGGGCGCUAACAUAAUCACCAGGUGUGCUGGGACCAAGUCUCACACAUAUGAUGAAUCAUGGCACAGGAUCGAAUGUCACAUCUUUAUAUAUAACAGGAGUUCUAUACAAAAUAAAUAAUUACAUUAUAAGGAGACAACGGUCCAGCAACCCAAAGUUGACUGGGAGACGACGACCUAGACCUCUCGCGAACUCGUCAUAGCAUUCCUCCAAGCGCCUCAUCCUGUGGUACCUGUUCUUUAACCUGUGGGGUAUGUGAGACAGCAAGAGUGAGCUCACAUACGUUCAUCGCUCAACAAGUUGUGGGGAAUAAUGUGCAUGAACUCGCCAAAGGUGGGAGCUCACGUGAAGUGUAAGGCUUACCAAAGAAGAUGGUUAGAGCUGAGCAUUGCUUUUAAAGUUGGUCAAAAUUUUAUUAGCAGUUACUAAGUAUAAGUAAAUACCAACCCAAUUAAAUAGUAGAACAGAAGUAACAACAUCACCUGCAAUGCAAUGCAUAUGACAAAUUGAAUUUAGUUCCAUAAUUUAAUCAUGUGAGUGUCCGAGCUGCUCUUGACCGUGAGCACGGCUAGUAUACCAGUUUUACACUCUGCAGAGGUUGCGCAUCUUUACCCACAAGUCAUGUUACCCAUCUGCCAAGAGACGGCCAAUCCCAUACACCUCUACCGAGGAGGCGAGGCAGGGUAACACUAUGAGGCCUUUACAAAGUUCCACUAGCUUCAGAAAACCCGCUACAGUUUAUAGGAAGUUCCAAUGCAGGAAUCCCUUGCAGGACCGCCAUCGCAGCAAAAUCCUCCCGAGGGCCUCCCUACACUGACCACUCCCCUACUGCCCUUGCCCCUUUCGGGUAAGGUAGUCUUCCACUAGCUUUCCUAAUUAAUCGGCCAAGGGCGUCCCAUUAAACCCUUGUGGUAGCACUGUUUUCCCGGGUGGUUCUCCAUGUUCCAAUUAACAUAAUGAUCUUAACAUGAACAGUAAUAAUAAACAGAUAAUAAAAGUGUGAUCAUGAAUAAUGUAUCUUCAUACCCAAAACCACAUAAAGCACUUGCAAGUACUACCCAACAAGGUUCAGUGGUAAACAAGGUAUAAAGAUAAUCAAACUAGGGUAACCUAUUGGGUCCCAUCAAAAUUAACCUAUGAAGAUCAUUAUGAUUAAUUAGAACAUGAGUGGGUAAAAAGAAGUGAUCAAGGGCACAACUUGCCUGGGCUUGAGAUUCCAGAUACCAGGAUGAUCUUUAGAGGACUCGUGACCUCACUGCUAGUCGUAGCAAUUCAAACAAACAUGGUAUAGGCAAAAUUAACAUUACACCAAACAUAAGAACAAAAUACACAUUAUUAAUUUAAAAUAAGAUCAUAGGAACAGGAAUCAUUAAUUUUGGAGUUAUAGAUUUUAAGUUAUGAAUUUUCAAAGGUUUUAUGUGUUUAAAAUGGAUUAAGUGAGAGAUUAAAUUUCUAAUUGUUUUCAUGACAAAACAGAGGCACUAAAUAAUGAAGAAUAUUAUUACAAAAUUUUAGAAACUGGAAUGGUUCAAUUUGGAGCUAAAAUGAAUUUUCUAUGAAUUUAUAAAGUUUUAGUAAUUAUUUUCAUAUUAAAAAUCCAUUUAUAAAUUAUUUUCUCUGGUUUUACACUGCUCUGGACUAGGCCUCAAUUAAUGGGAAACGCAGGGGGCUCGGUGUAAGUCGUCCCAGACACAGAGAACAGUCGCCUAAGGACCGCGGGUUGAUUCCACUAAAGUUCGAGGGCUCUUUAAGAAAACUGACCCGCGAAAGGGUAUCUGUUGAUCUCAGCCGCACGAUCAAACUUGGACGCACCCGAUUAAACCAGUGACCCCGCGAAACGGUACGUGAUCACGACCACAAAUCUACAGAUCGACGGUCGCGAUCAACAGCAUCCUAAAUCUAACCCGAUCCCCACGAUCCCGAUCCUACGGCUCAGAUCGAACGUGUCCGAAUCGGUAUCCCCAGGUCUAAUCCCGAUCGCUCGUGCGCGAUCCAACGGCGCCCGGACACUCACCUCUCCUCCUAUCUCGCGACGGCGGCGUAUACCUCCCACACGGCGGCGCCCUCACCGGCGAUCGCGCAAUCCGGCCCAAACGGACACCAUAACCCGAUUCACACGACCUACGCGUAAUUGGCAACUCUCCGAACCCACUGCUACCACUAAUUUCGGCCGACGUCGAAUGUGGAGCCCGGCCUACGGCGCACGGCGGAAACCCGUGCCCGACGACCAAUUCCGGGCACGACUUUGGGCAACCAUGCAUUCGGCUUGACGGAACAUGUUUAAUGGAGGGGGAAUGGAAUGGAGAACGUGAAUCUCACUGGCAGGGGCGACGAAUCGAGGAUAGUCCACGGCGCGACGCGGAAAUACACCCGCCGUUGACGCGGCGGCGAGCAAUUCACGCCCCACACCGACCCGCGACACUGAUUGCAGGCGCGGACGGAUCCCCAGGACGAUUACGACCCCACACGGCCACUCGUCGAGGCAAGACCACCUGCACCGAAGGAGUUCACCGGCGGCGGCAAUUUCUUCCUUCAACUCGCUCCCGUUCGAAUUUGGCACGCGGCUCCGGCUUGGUCUGGCGAAGUAGGAGGGCAGGAGGGUUGCGGGCGGCGACUAUAUACGAGCUGGUAGCCCAAUUUUGUAGGAACGGUCCCCCCCGGCGAGCUCGCGAAGUCAGUUGAGCCGCGGCGAUUCUGUUGGGAGGGGAUCGCCGACAGGCGGGACCCACACCGCAGUGACACAGAGCGUGAGCAACGCAGUGGACGAGCGUGCGGAUCGUUCGCGCGAGAGCGCCCUGACGAAGCUGGCCCACCCGGUCAGUGACAGGGUAAAGAAGAUGGCGCGAGCGCGAGGCUGGCUGGUCAGUGGGCCCGGGUUGGCAGCGACCACGGACGCGCGAAGGGAGGCUGCCCAGCGGGACCCAGUUGUCAGCGCGCAGGCGGGGGUGGAGUUGGGCCGCGCGGCGAGAAAGAGUUAGUGGGCCAGAAAUGAGGUGAGCGGCCCAUGUAGGAUUUUAAUUCUUUUCUUUUUCAUUUUUCUUUCUAUUUUCUUUAUUUUCAAACCUAAUUUGAAUUAAUUCAAACUUUUGUGGAUCUUCAUUUAUAAACUCUAUUUUUGAAAUUAAAAAUGCUAAGCCUGAAGAUAUUUAGUUAUACAUUUUAUGUAUAUUUUCAUAUCUCUUCUCUUUUCUUCCCUUCCCAUUUAUUUUCUAUUUUCUAUUCCAAAUUCAAAUUUAUACUUCUAUUUUUGUUUUUCAGAUUUUUCAAAUGUAUUAAUUGAAACCCAAAGGUGAAUAUAAACCAUACUAUUUUAAUAUUACUAAUUUAAGUUUUAUUCUCCUUGUUAUUUAUUUCAUGGGAUGUAUAAAUGGUUUCCUUUAAAAGAAAAAUCCUUUUCUCAUCAUUUUCUUAUUUCCUAGUUUCCAAAGCAUUAUGAUACUUUGUUUAUAUAUUUUUUUUCUUCCUACUAAUUUUGGGCCUUACACUCACCGUCCAAACGCAUCGCCGGAGUUACGUCGUCCGUCGUCGAAGCGAUCGCGCAGCACUCCAACUUAACCAUCAACGCCCAACGCCCAGCCUCGUCCGCGCCGUCUUCGCUCGUCCUUGGUCGUGCCUCGCCUCACCGCGACCGAAUCCCUCCAUUCACCACAAGGUUGAAAACAACCCCAAAUGUUGAUUUAUGUUCUAAAACAUGUUUUGAAUUAAUUUAUGAAUUGAUGUUUUAAUAUUGAAAUGAUGCGAUUUGGCGAUUCACGUGUAUGAUUUUAGAGAUUUCAAUGUAUACGUGUAGCCAAAGUCGAACCCCGCGACAAUGCUUUGAAUAUGCGUAUGAUUUUAUAAUUCUAAAAAUGAACACGGUCACUAUUCACCACCUCAGCGAUUUUCAUACUAGAAAAUAUUUACAGAAUUAAUUUCACUUUAGUGUGUGUGGAACGAUAAUCGUUAGCAGUAUUUUAAGUGUAAACUUAUUUGCAUGAAGAAAUAGAAGAAAUACUAAGCCACGUAUUUCCGGUCAGAUGAAAAUAUAUAUUUUACUAUUCAUGAUAAAUUUAUUCAUAAGUAUGGCACUUAAUUACUUAGAAUUAGUAAGAUAUUUAUUUAUGUCAUAAUAACCAUGAAUAGGUUAUUAGAAGUCCCAUUUAGUAAUUUAAAAUUAAUUUUUAGUAUAUUAAUGUUAGAAGAAUUAAAUAAAUAAUUUUUAGUUAUACGUAUAAAUUUUAUUUAGAAAGGAAAGGAGAAAACCGAAAGGAUGGAAUUUGAUAAUAAUGUUAAAAUAACCUAAUUAGAUGCUUAUACUUUCCUAAUAAAGAAAUUGAUAGUUAGGUUGGUAAACAUAGGUUUCUUACUAAAGAAUUAGAUAACUUGUUUCUAGUUUAAAAUGACCUUUUAAUAGAUAUCAUAUUUAACAAGGUUCGUUAUAGAUGUUAAGUAUAGCCGUAUUAAAUAGAAACUUAAAAGAAUAUGUAGACCAUAUGUUUCUUAAUAAAAAAUAGAAGAUAAAUAUAUGUCCAAUUAAUAGAUUAUUUAUAUUUACUUAAUUAAAAGAUAACAAGGAUCAUUGCUUUAAUGAUAGUUUAUACAUAAUUUCCUUUCUAAUGAAUUAGAUCAUUUGUUCCUACAAUAGAAUUAAAGAUAAUUAAUAGAUUAAUUAUCCUUUAUCAUUAUUUAUUAAUUAAACAUAUAGUCAAUUUGUUCUUAACUAGAUUUAUGGCAUGAUUAAUGAUUUCAUAGAAUUUAGUCCACAUUAUAUACGAAUCACUUAGUUUUUCCUAAAGAAUAAACUAAGAAAAUUAGUGUUCAUGUUCUUUAAUAAUAAUUAAAAUGUUAGUUUAUAUAUUAUUUUGUAUAUAGCUUUCUUAAUAAAGAAUAUAGACCAUGUACCUUCUAAUAAAAAUAAAAGAUGGUUAUCGUUCAUUAUCUUUUGCAUGAAAGUCCACUUAAGGGCCUAUAACCUAACUUUUCAUAAAAAAGGUGUUUAAUAAUAAUGAUCUUUUCACAUAAAACCUAUUUAGACUUAUAUCUUAGUUUAUCAUAAGUGAAGGUUUAACAAUGAAUUCUAAUACGUUCUAUAAUGCUUCUAAAAUUAAUAAUGUGUUUUAUAACUCAUUUACCUUAGAUAUAUAACAUAUAUCUUUUCUAAAAAGUUAAAAAGGUUUAAUAUCGUUAUAACGUGUUUUAUCGUCUUAUAAACCCUUAAUCUUAGACAUAUCACAUAUGACGUUUUAUAAUAGAUUAAUUUGGUGAACCUAAUAUUUGUAUAUUUUAAUUAAGAUACUUUAAACUCAUAAAGUAUAGAUCACACAUUUUUAAAAAGAAUACCUUUUAUUAUAACCAUUACUUGCGAUGUUUUUGAAAAACAAACGCUCUUUUAGUUAGGCUUUCUUUUAGCUUUACGUAUGGUGAAUGUUGUAUGUUAUUGAGUGGUGUUUGUUCUUCUUGUUUGUUUGUGUGAUAUUCAGUGGUUGAUCUAGUAGUUAAGAAUCAAGAUCUAUUCCUAUCCGUGGAAGAACCUCAAGUUUUCAAUAAGCAAGGCAAGUGGACUUCUCCCUCUACAUACUCUGUUUGAUCCCAAACAAUACAUUUAAUAAAGUUUAUUCUUGGAUAUAUGCAUAAUUUGACGGGUUACCUAUUCGGAUACACCUAACCUUUUCUACCGUAUUCCUUGAUCAAACUUGGGUAUUAUACAUUACCUUCGAAGCUAUGCUAUUGCUACAACUUAACUUUAUGCAGUCACUCCCGUUUAUGAUAUUAAUGUUCCAAAUGGUAAGUUUACAUUAUUGUGGUUAACCCGAUGGUUAAAUAAGAUUAUUGCAUAUUAAUUAGAACAUGGAGUGACCAUCCAGAAAAACAGUGCUACCAUGAGAACUAUCAUGGCUCUGGUCUUGGCUAAAUAACUAGGGAAGUCUUAUGUUGGGUGCUGGUCGUGGUCGACCCAAACGGGGACACCUGGCAAGCGCUUAUAUUCCGGCUUAGGCAGAUUGGAUACGGGCAUAGUUCCCAAAGCUUUACCCUAUAGACUAGUCUAUAAGUUGGUUAUGUUAGGUGUGCUUUAUGCAGUUUGACCAUUUCCAGCAUUUACGUAAUGAGGACUCUAGGGAGAAGCCUCGUAGUGAGACCCUAGCCAUUCACCUCGGCAGUGAAUACGGGUCUAGCUAACCUGGGCUAGAAGGGAAUCACGACUCAUGGGUAAAGAUGCGCCACCUCUGCAGAGUGUAAAACUGAUAUACAGCCGUGUUCACGGUUAAGAGCAGCCUAGACUCCUCAUAUGAUAAUUGAACUUGAAGAUGGAAAUAAAUCGAGAUCCGAUGAUCUACCAAUGGUUUGCUUAAGUGGUUUCACUUUAGUGUUUUUGAUAUACUCUUAUACCUUUGUUUAAUGGGAAUACUUAGGCUUCACACUUAUUUGUAAUACAGGUGUUGUUAAUAGAAUGUUGACCAACUAAAAUGCUUACUGCUCAACCUUAACCUCACCUUGUUAAACUUGCAUUAAUUUUUCCUCCACUUGCUGAGCCUCGACCAUAAGUGAGCUCACCCUUGCUUAAAUUUUGGUCAGAAGCUUGCAGAUGAAGAUAUGAUGCUGAACUCCAUAGAUUCUAGUCUAGUGAUACCCCCGGUCAUCUUCCUGUGGAUGGAUGUCCAUGUUUCGUUGUACUUUGAUGAAUAAAGGUUAAGACAUUAUGUCUGUUCGAAGUGUAAUAUGUUAAUAUAAUCGUUAUUUACGCUUUUAUGCAUUGUUCUUUUGAUAUAUUACACUUGUGACGUCAACAUAUGUGUGGAAAUAGAUCCUGGCACACAUAUGCGAUGCGCCCGGCUCUGCUCCUUUAGAAAUGGGUGUGACAGGAAUCGAACGACUCAGAUGGGGAGUGGGCUGAGCAAUGGAGGGUCGAGAAAAAUUAGAUCAAAGCCUAGUUUUUAUUAAAUUUGGCCCAACUUACUAUAUAAAAAUUUGAUUAUUUUAUUGUAUAUCUAAACUUAGAUAUAAAAGAUUACAAAAAAUGAGGUGGAGCUAUGUCCCCCUGCCCCACCCCAAGAUACGCCCCUGCUCACUACUUUGUCACAUAUUAUACAUUUGGGUGAAUUAGGCUUGCAAUUAAAGUUUAAUUUAUGCAUGAUUUUUAGAGAAGUCCAAUUCACUCUCUCUUAGCCAUCAUAAUUCUUUCACUAUGGAGUCAUCUCUUUGAUUUGAGGUUAUUUAUUUUGUCACGAAAUAUAGCAACAAUGAGGGAAUAUCAUUUUUUGUAAUACUGCUAAAAAAAGAUAGUAAGAUUAUCUUCAACAGCUUACACAUCCUCAUACAUAUAUUCAAACUCUACUCAGCAAACACUUGCAAAACAAUAUAAAAUAAUAAUUUUGGGUAAACUGCUGCGGACGGUAUAAGAAGACAACGGUAUACCAAGACAAGAAAAUAUAUGUUCAUUGGAUCUUUGCCGGUGGACAUCGCUUGAACUAUUUGCUAACCAGAUCACACUAAUUUCCACGCGAGAUGCAUGCAACCAUACCAUGUAAGAUUAGCUUAAGGUCUCGUUUGUUUUCUUUCAUUUUGAAAAAUUGAAAUCUUACUAAUGGAAUAAGCUAUUUUUUAGAAUGUGACAUUCCACCACUUUCCAAAAUUAUUAUAUAAGUCUAUCUCAAAUUCCUGUAGUAAGAGAUGAAAAUUAAUUCUAUGGAUUUACAUGCUAUGUUUUCGAUGUACAACUCAUAACACACUCUUCUACUUGUUUCUCUAUAACAUAAAUGGAGUAUAUAACUAUCUCUCAUAUAAUUUAGAAUAAUAUAUAAAUAUAUUAUAUAUAUAAAUAUAUAAACUUAAUUAGUUUUGUCUAAAUCUCUACAACUAUUAAGAGCGGACUGUAGACUGCCCCCGCCGCUACCCAACUCCUCCUGCUACCGCGCGUCUAGCCCCGCGAAAAUCGCCGAACGCCCGCUGCCUACCAACCGCUCCGUGCAUGCCGCAACCGCCGCGAUCCGCCCGCCCGCCGCAAAUACUUACGUUCGAUCUGUGGUGUCUCGAAUCAACUGCCCCCUCAACCAUCCUCGACCAUCUGCUGCUCCUCCACCGUCCACACGCGGUGUGCUGCUAAGACGCAAACAUGUCAGCGACGGCAUGGCUUCGCCGGUGCUCACUGCCGUCGCCGACAGCUACGACUGCCACCCCUACUCUAUCUUCGCCGUCUCAUAGGACUCCGCUGUGGCCACCGACCCGCCUCCGAUCCCAACCUCCUCCAAUAUGUAACCGCAUCUCCCUACCAUCCCUUCUCCCCAUGUUCGAUCUGUUGGAUGUAAACGACGAUUCUUAAGAAUCUUCCUCGGCCUCGACAACGGUGGCAAGACCUGCCUGCCCUCCCCCCAUCCCCCGACCGAUCGAGAUGUCUUGGGGAUUGGAUUUGUAUCCUAACUCUAGGGAUUUCAGUGUCGAAAGGCAAAGGUAGUUUCUUUGGUUGCUUGUUAGACUGCCUUGUUUUACUAUGAGAAUUUUUGUGAUUUUUCAUUAUUCUGUUCAGGGGUUACUUACUUGUCAUUUGUCUCCGGUAAUUAUUGCUAUUGUCAACAAAAUUAAGAUGAUGCCAUUAUCUGCUUAUUUUUUUUCUUGCAAGGAAUAUUUGAAAAUCUAUCCUAGAACAAUGGCACAUACAUGUAUAAAUACGUGGAGGAUCAAAUCAAAUUUCCUGAAUAACUGAUUCAUGUUACACAGAAGAUAUGUUUGGUGGUGUUCUCAUCACAAGUUUUUUUAUAGACCUAAACACCAGAUUUCAUGUUUAUCUGUUUGUAACUUGUUGUCUUCGACUUAAAUAUCAUAAUAAUAUGAAAUGUACUUUUCCUUCUGCUUGCAGGCUCCCUUCGAUUAUUUAUAACAUGUUGCUCUACAGUCUGUUUAGCCUAUUGACGAUGCUAUUAUCUCAUCACCAUUGGGGAUCAAUCUAACACGACACAUUUGUUUUGGCAUAGCUUUCUCUUAUGCAGAGCUUUUCAUGUAUAUUAGUAUGGUCUGAUAUUAAGAAUUAAGAUGGCCACUCCAUACGCUAAGUGGACAACCAUCUUAAAUAUUUGUUCUGCAGUGGGUGCUAUCGGUACUGUUUUUGGAGAAAUGGGAGCUCUCCAGCCAAGUAGGUUAUGUGUGAUGGUUUCAAUGACAUUGUCUAUAAUGGCCCUCUGCACUCUCAAGACAAACUGAACCGGUGAUGUGGAUAUUUCGUGGGUAUACCUUUGGUCUGUGAACUAUGUUCCUUGGUCUCAUGCUGCUUCUCGACAUAUCCACAUUGUUGAGUCCCUGGCGGUGUCUGCCAAGGCCACAAGGAUGACUGCGACCUUCUCCAUACCAGCAGACAAAUGCUCGUAAGUCCAAAGAUUUGAACAGUUGAGUUUUAUUGUGCAUGUGUAUUGGUUCUUUGAUGUUUCUUUUUUCCUUUUUGCCACGUACAUUAUUGGAGUUGUAAUUUUUACUUUGUACGACUUAUUGUUUAAUUAACUGUUGGACCUAAGACUAUAGGUUACGACUUAUGGUAUUCUCUACCUUGUUUCUUUACAGCUCAUGGGGUUGAGUAUGCAUUUGGAGCACAUAACUAUUCGAUUAGUGGAGUUUUGGAGGUGGAACCUCGGCAGUGACCUGGAUCCUCUCCAAGUCAGAGAGUUCAUGGAGAUUCACUCAUUAAAUUACAAUGGUGAUACCUUCUGUUUGGUAGGUAAAAACUACAACCACUUCUAUGAGGAUAUCUGCAAAAGGUUGACCAGAAAUUUUAUUCCAAGAUAGGUUAAUCGACUUGCUACAAUGUAUUUUUAUCAUUUGAGAUCAUCAGAUAAAACAAAGGGGUGCGAUUGUUGAACUCAACGUCUUUAUCAGUUGAACAAUUUGGAAACGAAAAGACACGAGAUCCUUAUGCAUUUGCCUAUGAAUGAUGGAAGCAACAACAACACUUUUGACGCCAAUAGUGGGAGUUCAUACUCAGCUGUUCAACCAAGUAGAUAAUUGUAUCCACUCUUUGUUUUUGUUGAGGAAUGUAUUAUAUGACAUUAAUCGUUUUCCAGUAAGUUACCUGGUGAACAAUAUUUCAGCAAGUUAUUUGAGUGAUUAUAUCUGUAUGCUCCAUAUGAAUGCCUUUUCAUUUUAGUAUAUCACAUCCGAAUUACCAACCUUUAUACUGACAGUGUGAUAAGCAUUGAACAAAAGUUUUUUAUAUGUUGAAUAUUCAACAUUAUGUGUAUAAUUUUAUAUAUACAUAAAUAUAAUAUUCUCAUACGCGUGAUUGAUCCGUUGGUAUAUUGUUGAAAUAUUGUUUUUUACGAUACAUGUGCUGACAUGACCAUGCUUUGAUCUGCCUGUAGGUUGAACCGUAUAAGCUUUAUUUCUUUUAGGCUCGACUAUAUGAUAGCUGUUACUUAAUCUGUGUUGAUCUAUGUAAAUGUGGCAACACUUGGCAGUUUCAUGCUUUUACUAAUGGAGGUCUUGUACUGUUGAAAUUUAGAGAAAUCUUACAUUUAUGUUUUUGAGCACAUAUUGCUCCAACUUAUAUGUCUGCCAACACAAGUAUUGACAUGCGGAUGUUUACUUGUUUAGAUCAUUGAAGGAUCCGGCAAGGUUGCUAUUAGAGGAUGAUUAAUUAUCUUACGUUAUUCCAGUUCCCUUGGAGCACUUAAGUUUUUAAUAACUAAUCAGGUAUUCACAAGGUAUGGACUCCAAAAGUUGUUUGGCCUAGACUGCUUGGCACUCACCUCAGACCAAUCCCCACUUUACCCUGAUCUUCCAUCUAAUAUUGUAGAGCCCAAAAUUUGUAUCAAAGAAAAAUAAGGUUAUAAAUAAAUCAAUAUGUUUAUAAGUGGGUAUCUUGGGGUUAUGGAACCCUUGAGAUCAUUUGAGUUUGUUUUAUUUGUGCAUAUACAGUAAAUGGAAUUAUAUUGGUUAAACAACAAAUAAAUAUAGAAAAAAUGCAUAUCAUGCUGGAUUUCCUGUAUUUUCGCAUUUGUAUUCAAAUUUGUGAGACAAGUUUAUUUUGGAAAAUAGAACUUGAAAAUGGAAAGAAAGGAUUAAAAACAACAAAAAGGGGACCUUCAAUACUCGUCAUGGGCCGAAUUCUUCCCUGGCUCGGCCCAGCUCGGGUCUUCCUCGGCCCAUGUGGCCGCGCGCGCUCACCCACUGGCGUCGUGACCCACGCCGUCAGCCACUCCUCUCCUUUCUCUCAGUGUGCACACCGACGGAUGGGCCAGUCGCUCAGAUCAUCUUCCUCCUAACCACCUGCGCAACAACCGCGCGCCUGCUGUGGGGUCGGGCGCUGGGAAACUCGGACUUGGCCUCGCGCUUACUCAAACUUGAGCUAACCCCGAUCUGUAGGGUCCGCCUCGCUAGGCGUAUCCUCUUCUCCAUCCAUAACAGCCAUGGCCAAACUCCAUGGCCGGUCCCCCGCUUGCAUGCACCGAUUUGAGCUCCAUGGCUCAACCGCCCAUGCAGAGUCGUCGGGUUCUGUUACAACCACCCGUUCUCCCAGCUGGCCGCCAGGUGCGGACUCCAUGGGCCAUAUAAAGUCGUGCCCGGGUCUCCUGUUGUGUGGUGAGUGGAAGCCGAGGGCCGCCGCGGUUGCAAGAACUGGGCUGUGGUGCACGCCGAAGCGAACCAUGGGCUAAUAGAGCGAAGGUAGUGCUUGGAGUUCGAAGGAAAGUUUGCCAGAGUUCACGUCUCGUGGGGAACUUCACUGUGUCGACGAUGGCCAGCCUCGUCGUCGAUUGUGUCGAUGGCCAGCCUCGUCGUUGAUUGAGCAUCGCGGCCAAGUCUGUUGUGACCGGGAUUCUUCAACACGUUCCACCUCGAGGUAUGGAUCCAAAUGCUAGCAGCAGCAUCUCUCAACUACUUCCGCGUGAUGCGAUGGUGCUGGGUACGUAGAUGUGCUUCCGCUCUCUGCUGCAUGCCGUUGUAGGCCAUCCUAUUGCCUCUCACGCCCUAAAACCGGGUCUCCGGCUAACCACCUAGCUUGCGGACAAACUCUCGCCGACGGAGGUUCACCAUGCCGCAUGGACAGCUUCGCCUUGCCUCCUAACCUUCGGUAAUGCCCCUUGGAUCGAUUCGACACCUUCUCUGCAUUGCUUAGCACCUAGUUACGCUUGGAAUCAAGCCCUGGCAUGAUAAUUGGGUGCUCCGCGGUCAUGGCGCCGCCGUGGGUAGGGCCGGCGUGCUGCCGUAUUCCGGCUGGGAGGAAGAAAACUGGCAGCCAUUGGAUUGGAAGUUGACGGUUAGGAUGGGUUAUGGGAAGGAUGUACCGUGGACCGUUGAUCGCGGAAUGGACGUAUCGGAUUAGAUUCACAUAUACCCGUUCGACUCAUUAAAUCCAGGGCGUAGAUCUUGGAUCCUAGGGCUCGGGUUGCGUACCGAUUUGUGCGCGGCCAGAUUUAAUCGUGACCUUUGGUUUGGAUCGGACGGCUCUGAAUCAACGAUACCCCUUCGCCCUGGCUUUCUUUCUAAAGAGACCCCGGAAAACUUGCUAUUCAACCCGCGGUCUAUCGCCUGGGUUCUCUGUGUCUUGGUGCACUUUGCGCCAGGGCCCCUGCACUUCCUAAUAUUAGUGGGCCCAGUCCAGAGUAUUAUAAAACAGAGAAAAUAAUUUAUAAAUGGGUUUUUAAUAGAUAAAUAAAUGCUAGAACUUGUUUAAAUCAUAGAAAAUCCAUUUUUAGUCCAAAUUAAUCCAUUCCACUUUCUAAAAUUUUGUAAUUUUAUUAUCUACCACCUAGAGCCUCUGUUUUGUCAUGAAAACAAUUAGAAAUUUAAUCUCUCACUUAAUCCAUUCUAAGCACAUAGAAUCUUUGGAAAUCCAUAACUUAAAAUCUAUAACUCCGAAAUUAAUGAUUCCUGUUCCUAUGAUCUUAUUUUAAUAUGUAUAUUAUUAAUGUGUAUUUUGUUCUUAUGUGUGGUGUAAUGUUAAUUUUGCCUAUACCAUGUUUGUUUGAAUUGCUACGACUAGCAGUGAGGUCACGAGUCACCUGAAGAUCAUCCUGGUACCUGGAAUCUCAAGUCCCAGGCAAGUUGUGCCCUUGAUCACUUCUUUUACCCACUCAUGUUCUAAUUAAUCAUAAUGAUCUGCAUAGGUUAAUUUGAUGGGACCUAAUAGGUUACCCUAGAUUGUCUAUCUUUAUACCUUGUUUACCACUGAACUUUUUGGGUAGUACUUGCUAGUGCUUUAUGUGGUUUUGGGUAUGAAGAUACAUUAUUCAUGAUCACACUUUUAUUAUCAGUUUAUUAUUACUGUUCAUGAUAAGAUCAUUAUGUUAAUUGGAACAUGGAGAACCACCCGGGAAAACAGUGCUACCACAAGGGAGGAAUGGGACCCCUUGGCUGAUUAAUUAGGAAAGCUAGUGGAAGACUACCUUACCCGAAAGGGGCAAGGGCAGUAGGGGAGUGGUCAUUGUAGGGAGGCCCUCGGGAGGAUUUUGCUGCAAUGGCGGUCCUGCAAGGGAUUCCUGCAUUGGAGCUUCCUAUAAACUGUAGCGGGUUUUCUGAAGCUAGUGGAACUUUGUAAAGGCAUCGUAGUGUUACCCUGCCUCGCCUCCUCGGUAGAGGUGUAUGGGAAGUCGCGAUCCCUUGGCAGAUGGGUAACAUGACUUGUGGGUAAAGAUGCGCAACCUCUGCAGAGUGUAAAACUGGUAUACUAGUCGUGCUCACGGUCAUGAGCAGCUCGGACCCUCACAUGAUUAAAUUAUGGAACUAAAUUCAAUUUGUCAUAUGCAUUGCAUCGCAGGUGAUGUUGUUACUACUUUUGUUCUACUACUUAAUUGGGGUAUUUACUUAUACUUAGUAAUUGCUAAUAAAAUUUUGACCAACUUUAAAAGCAAUGCUCAGCUUCAACCAUCCUCUUUGGUAAGCCUUACACUUCACGUGAGCUCCCACCUUUGGCGAGUUCAUGCACAUUAUUCCCCACAACUUGUUGAGCGAUGAACGUAUGUGAGCUCACUCUUGCUGUCUCACACCCCCACAGGUCAAAAACAGGUACCACAGGAUGAGGCGCAUGGAGGAUGCUGUGAUGAGUUCGUGAGAGGUCUAGGCCGUCAUCUCCCAGUCAACUUUGGGUUGCUGGACCGUUGUCUCCCUAUAAUGUAAUUAUUUAUUUUGUAUAGAAUUCCUGUUAUAUAUAAAGAUGUGACAUUCGAUCCUGUGCCAUUAUACAUCAUAUGUGUGAGACUUGGUCCCAGCAUACCUGGUGUUUAUGUUCGCGCCCGGGUCUUGGUGCCCCCGAAAUCCGGAUGUGACAGAAGUGGUAUCAGAGGAAUGUUGACUGUAGGACGAAACCUAGAUAGAACUGGACAACCAUUGUCUACUUACCUUUGCUACUCUGAUCUUUUCUAAACUUUCCUUAAUCUUUCUCAUCUAUUUCCGCUUUACUCUGAUUAUUCUUACCUUUUCAUUCUAAAGACAAAUGUGGAUUUCACACUUUGAAGUCAUGUAUCUAAAGUAACUUUUAGGAGUAGGAGACCUAUUCUUAGGAAUAAAAAAACAAAACUAUUUUUUUAUUUAUAUGCUUGAAUGUUUGUUCUUGUAAUACAUGUCUGAUUUGGAUCUUUGAUUAAGUGUGAUGAGUUAUGGAGUAAUGUCCACAAUUACAUCUGUAUAUACAUAUAGGCAUAAAUAUAAAUAAAUAAAAUUCAUAAGAUAGCUAAUCAACUUGGAAUAUCCCUCGUUAAAAUAUAUUUAGCUUAAUAGAUCUAUCUUAUCUUAAAAGAUACACUAUUACCUUAGUAGAUUCAUCUUAUCUUGAAAGAUUCAUAUUAUCCAAACCACUUGAUUUAUCCCACCAUGAUCAUGAUCUAGACCAAAAUAAUGAGAUCUUAACUAGUUUAAUCUAGUCAUAUUCAGUCUAAUUUAGAUCCUAUCUAAGCUUAUAUGAUCCAAUCUAGUGUGAGUUACUUAAUGCUGGUACAAAGGAUAAGGCCAUACUCCAAAUUCACUUAAGCCUAAAUUGGUGACUUAGAGCAACUAAGCCCUACACGACAACUUGACCUACAUAAUAGGUUACAUAACUUAUCCAACCAACCUAGAAGCAAAACAACAAGAUAGACAGUGCUUAAAUUUACUUAACUCAUAACCACCUCCUACCCUACUUUGGGUACAUACAAAUCUGCCUUAACUACAUGUUCCUAAUUCGGAUAACAACUUCAAGAACAAAGAUCGAAGAUGAUCGGCUUCAUCAAAUCAAGGAAGAAUAAGAUUCAAGCUAGAUCCUCAAGGGAAUCAAGAUCCACAAUCUUGGAUGGAGUCUUUUCUUACCCUACUCUUUCUUACCCCAAACCUAUAAAUGCUUUAAAGAUAUCUUUUAUCCUGCAUAAUAAAGUGGCUAUACCCAUAAAGACCCAGGCUUUCCUAAUCACUUGAUGAUUUGCGAUAUAGAAAAAAAAAAGAAAAGUUUUGGUAUUAAAAUCAAUUAGAAACUAACCCAUAGACUACAAAUAAUUUCUUCUACAUCCUUUUUCUUACAAAUCUCGAGGACGAGAUUUCUGUUAAGGGGGGUAGGAUUUGUAGAGCCCAAAAUUUGUAUCAAAGAAAAAUAAGGUUAUAAAUAAAUAAAUAUGUUUAUAAGUGGGUAUCUUGGGGUUAUGGAACCCUUGAGAUCAUUUGAGUUUGUUUUAUUUGUGCAUAUACAGUAAAUGGAAUUAUAUUGGUUAAACAACAAAUAAAUAAAUAUAGAAAAAAUGCAUAUCAUGCUGGAUUUCCUGUAUUUUCGCAUUUGUAUUCAAAUUUGUGAGACAAGUUUAUUUUGGAAAAUAGAACUUGAAAAUGGAAAGAAAGGAUUAAAAACAACAAAAAGGGGACCUUCAAUACUCGUCACGGGCCGAAUUCUUCCCUGGCUCGGCCCAGCUCGGGUCUUCCUCGGCCCAUGUGGCCGCGCGCGCUCACUCACUGGCGUCGUGACCCACGCCGUCAGCCACUCCUCUCCUUUCUCUCAGCGCGCACACCGACGGAUGGGGCCAGUCGCUCAGAUCAUCUUCCUCCUAACCACCUGCGCAACAACCGCGCGCCUGCUGUGGGGUCGGGCGCUGGGAAACUCGGACUUGGCCUCGCGCUUACUCAAACUUGAGCUA